CUUGAACUGAUGUCAUUCCUCAAGAAGAGUGUUGUUUAUCUUCUGAAAAUUAUGUCCGUAGAUUCUAUACAAUUAACGGUAGAUUCAACUUUAACACCAGAUGAACUUUCAAUGGAGGGAAGGAAUAUAACUAAUUUAUUUCCAUCCACAGCGUAUGCAUACUUCCUUAGUUUUCUUUGUCAUUAUCACCUCAAUAAUGUUAGACAGUGUCAGGAUUCCUUAGAAGGUCUAGAAACUUGUAAUAGCAGAAAGUUAUUUGAUACCAAAUUGGAAUACAGAAAAUGCCUACAUUUUAUUAGGGAUUUCUUUAGAAUUACAUGGCAACAAGGAAUCCGCACGAUAAGCUUUCUUAUAAUCUUUGUCAAUCUCCCCCAGACAAAUCAUACAAUUCUGCCAAAUGGAGACUUUUGUAAUACUGUGAAGAUGAUGACGGUAAACACUAUUUUUCGAGUAAAUUAUAUAAGAGAAAUAUAUGUUUGAUUGGAAAUGAUAUGCGCAUGACAAUUCAUGGACCGUGUAUAACUGACGAUAUAAGAAAUUUGAUUUUGCUUGCUCUCUACAUUGAAAAAUUCGGAUAUCUUCUGCAGUACAUUGAAUAACACGACCAGGUAACUCAUGGCCAAGGCAAAAUUUCUAGAAAAGCAUUAUAAAACACGGGGUACUUUUUGUACCGAUAGGAGUUCACGGAUCACCUAAAGAAGGGUAAGAAUGGCGAGUAUCCUUUUCAGUGGCGGAGAUGUUUCUUAUAAAUACAUGUACGCACACCCA
rnacentral:lncRNA from 1 species